GGGUGGGGGGGGGAGGGAGAUGUGUGAUUUCCUGCGGCGAUAAACGCGGACAGACGUCGGAUUGUAGGUUGCGAUCCGUAUCGCAUAGAUGUGUGAUGGCUGUUAUUAUUGUUGUUAUUGUUGUUACUGUCGUCAGGUGCGGGCAACACAAAUUGUAUAGCACUAAUCAUACGUUUUGCGGGGUCGUGCAAUCAGCACCGAGUAAAUUGGACCCGUUUCAAUUAUAUAUAACCAGGCAACAGAAAUAUUUGGGUCGUGGGUAGGCGGAUCGUGGGACUGCCAGGAUCGUCGGCCUCGAAUCCAAAAUUAUCUACUUACCCAGCACCCUGCAACUGUAAUGACGAAAAAUUCGAAAUUUCCCGCCCAAAUCUCACUCUGCGAGAAUUUAUGCGCACUGGCUAGAUCGGUUCUGAUCACGAAAUUUCUCAUCAUCAUACUUUAAAUUUGUAAACGUUGGCGUUAAUUGAUUUUUAACAAACCGAUGGAUUAAAAUUAAAAUAUUUAAAAUGCUUGGUUUUCAAUCUUAAAGUGUAGAAUAUGAUUACUAGCUGACCCAGUGCACUUCGUUGCCCGUUAAAAUGUCAACUCUAUUUGAGUUCAACUUUUUUUAACUGUGUUCAACACUUGAAAAUGUUCUACUAUUUCUAUUAUAAUCUGUGACCAAUGAUAAGAAUUAUUUAUAAACAAAAAAUUCAAUUUCCAUCGACUAUCGUGGUUCUCAAAAUACUUAUACAAGCACCACUUUAAAAUACCGAUUUCGGAAAAUCUUCUGUCAUUGCACAUCCAUUUCAUUCAAGGAACCAAUAAACAAAGUUUUAAGUUUGUAUGUUUUGUAGUUUUUGAGAUGUAGCGAUCAGUGAGUGAGUGGUAUUUGACAUAUAAAAUAUGUUUUCACAUAUUAUUAUAUUUGUUUUUAGACAACCUCAUUUAACGUAGAUACGCUAAAUUGUUACGCUUUCCUCUUUACGUUGUAUGUUCGCAACUGUAAAUUUCAAUAUUUUUUUGUAAUAUGUAACUCUUUACUUCAACGUAGCUUCUGCUCGAAGGAAGUGAGCAAGUAUUACAGGAAGUCUGACAAGUUAUUAUUUUGUUUAAAUAAAAGAAACUUAUCAUAUACUUAAGUCCAAACAGGAAUCCUUAGCUUUAACUUGGGGAGGGGGGGACUCUACUCACGUUAAGUUAGCCCCUCUACUGCACCACCACAAAACUUUCAAAAUAUUAGUAACCCAAUUUUUUUGUAAUUUGUAACUUUGAGGGACCAACUUCACCCGGCGAGCACUUUACCCCACAUCGAUCAAAUCGAUGGAAUAAUUAAAUUAAUAGUUUUUCUGUUAACUUGUAACGAACAGUAUAUAAGUCUUACAACCCAUAUUACGUAUAUAUAAAUAUAGGGACAAUAACAUUCGUGUCUCGUCGUCGCAUCUACCCCUAUAUAUAGGCAGGUACGAUAGAAGCAUUUGCGCGCAUUAUUUUGACCGUUUACACCUUUUACUAUUUACCAUCACGACUUCAACAAUAACAACAGUUUAAUGGGUACCUAUAUUAUAAUAACAAUUAAUCGGGAAAUUCUCGUAUCAUAUGCGCUCGGCGGUUUCUGCAUUAUGCUGCAGCUACACACGGCCCGCGGGCGCGAAUUAACGUUUUUUAUUUUUUUUCCAAAUGCACAACGCCUAUGCGUGCCCACCCAUAUAUACCUACACGUAUAUAAUACGAUUAGGUACCGCAGCUAUCCUCGGUAAUAUAACCCUGCCGCAGGGCGUUACCGGCCCCGGCGGGUUAUAAUGGUACACAAUAAUAUUAUAUGUAGACGGCGAUAAAUUACCGACCCGCCGAUAACAAUAUUUUAUUAUUAUUAUUUUAUCGGAUAUGCGCGCACACACAUAAUAAUAAUCACCUUUUCAAUGAUAUUAUUAUACUAUCGACUCGUCCACGAGUCACUAGUAUAUUACCACGACCGCGACGUCGCCGUCGUUGCAACGUGUGUACAUAUAAUAUUCGUAAAUUAUAUAUGUAUAUGCUAAUGCCGUCGUACACAAAAUACGAUCAGUGAGUGUGUGCAGACUACAGAAGAGGAGGAGGAGGUUCUCGCGUGCAUGACAAUGGUCGUAGGUACCUAUAAUACCCGGGUAACAAUGCGCGAUGGGUUUAAAGACGAAACCGUUGACAGUAUACCCAGGUAUAUAAUAAUAAUACGUCUACCCGCGUGUCCAAUUUCGGGACGCGUUCUAUCUCGUUUGGUCGUCGUCGCAGUCGUUGUGUAUGCCUACAUUAUUAUAUAUAGGGGUGGCGUGUGUGUGUGUGUGUGUGUGUGUGUGUGUGUGUGUGUGUGUGACUUGCCGUCGUGAAAUAUGCAAAUCGCGGCCGCAGCAGCCGCGACGACGCGCACUCGCACCUUUUUUAUUUUGAAAACAAAAAAAAAAAAACGACACGGUGAAAAACGUUCAAGUCGCUUGGGCGUUGGGACGGCGGCAAUAGCGGAGGACACACACGCGGGACGAUCCUACGCGGUUAAAAGGGUUGAAAACUCCCAACGCCGAGCCCGGCCGUCUAUUAUGUUAUUAUAAUAUGUUUGUGUAAUAACUUUUGUAAACAAAACCGCGUCAACAGUCAUACCUAUACAUUAUCGUUAGGCGUGUGUAGGUAUACAUAUAAUAUCAUACGGGUUCGAGUCUUCACGAUUAUCGUAAUAAUAUAUUAUAAUCGUUUCUGACGUACACGGACGGGUGGGCAUUGUAGGUACAAUCGGGUAGGUACUCCGUGGGGAGCCUUUGCACGCAUCGUAUCGGAAACGAGUAUUAUGUGCAGGAAUCCGCAUGUAUUGGUAACCGAUCGCAUGCGUAAUAUUAUUAGCAUAUUAUUAAAUAUGAUAGAUUUUAAAAGAUUACAAUGGAUUUAUUAUCAUAUACGUUGUGUUGCGUUAUUAUUGUGCGCGUUUAUGCGUAUACGCUGCUGAUGCGCGAGGCUGUGACGUAAUAUUUUGUAGUGCCUAAUUAUUGAAAACUGUAGUUUUAGAGCAAAACGUCAAAGGUUCGCAGAGGCUGUCCGUUCUCGGGAAGGUUUGGAGGUGGAGGCGAGCUCAGCUAUGUGCAGGUCCGACUCUGCAGUCGACUAAACACGAGAUAAUAUUUUUUUGUAUUAAAAUACGCAAUGGUGUAAGUGUCAAAUAUCAUACCGUAGUCGCGUAAUUCAAAACGAUAUUCACUGAAAUUACAAAAAAUAACUUAAAUACAUUCCUAUCCAGUAUCAUAAUCUUGUAAUCGUCACGAAAAUACCUACAAAGGUAGGUAUCAAAAACUCACAGCUCGAUAAACAGAUAUCCAACACGCAGGCCACCAGAUUCAAGAAUCUGUGAUCCCGAUAUUAUUGCGUACACUGCAUAUAGCGUCGAUUUCCAUCAUCCAACUCAAUUCUGAUAAAUAUUUUUGAAAUGUCCAAUCGCUUAUUUCGUCGAGCGUGUCCAAACGGAAAUGUAAGUUUUUAAAUUUAGGAGGACGGCCAGGACGGGUACGACUGUAGUAUAUCGUAUAAAGCCAUAUACUCGCAGUACACAGUUUCAGGUGGGACGUGUCCAUGUGCGCUUGCAUUUGACGAACUACUAUCAUGAUCGCAGAGAUAUACUAUAGUGAAAUCGACUCGAUUCUGAUAAAUCAUUCGAAAAGUUCAAUCACUCGUUCCACCACCGAGCAAGUCCAAACAGAAGUAUGAGGUUUUAAAUUUCAGAGGACGAUGGUAUGGACCAGCGUAUCAUAAUAUACAAAGUUACGUACUUGUACACGGCACUAGCUGGGGCCACGUGCACUUGCGUUUGACGAAUAAUUGUUAUGAUCUCAAAGAUGUACUAGGGAAAUUGUGUUAUUAGAACACUGCUUGAACAGGAGUGAUAUAGCUGUACCAAUCAAAUAUUUAAGUAUACGAAACUAAAUGUAACUAAAAUAUUCCAGACGUCUACAGAAAAUGUACGUUCUUCAAUUUUUUCAAUACGCCGCAGCACCAUCACCAUAUAAACACCACCAGGUUGCACCCCCUUCAAUUGGAUUAUAACGUCUUGUCGAGCAUUGUACUUUUGAAGAUUGCAGCCAUUGAUCAUUGUAUACAAGCUUUCGAAUUAUUCUCCUAGAGCCAUUCUUCGACGGUGGUCGGACAGUUCUAAUGUACCUGUAUAUAUGGAACGAAUCGGUGUGCGGCGAAUGAGCAACACAACUGUAUCGUAUUUAAUAUGUUGUUUAUAAGUUAAUUCCACACGGCAAUGUUCUUGAUCCACGGUUAAGAUAUGAAGAAAGCGCAGUGGACAACAGAUUUAGCCGCGUUCAACAGUUGCUGCUGCAACUAUGCAGUCGUGAUAGAAUACAUUGGUUUUCACUGAUUACCAUAUAAAGUACUAGUGGACGAAAGCGUCCGAUCAGAUGGAUAUUCGUGUUUAGAGUAUUAAAAACUGCAGUGAGAACGAAUAGAAGAUUCGAUUUCGUCCCGGAUAACAACCACUUGCGGAUUUCAACGAAUACACAUACGUCGAAACGAAUACACACAAGAAUAGCGAACUGCUCGCCAUUUGUAUGUGGCCGAUAAAAAAACGUAUUUGCACAUUCCGAAUCGCGUAUUUAUUUUUACCGUCGAGGAGCGCACGCUGCACGCGGACGGCCGUCGCAUUAUUAUAAUUAUAUUAUAUUAUGCACUCACACUAGCAGAACACAUUAUAUUGUAUUCGCGUGCAGCAGUGCACAUGUAUGGGUGUACAAUAUUAUAAUACAAUAAUAUUACGAUGACAACAAUGAUGGCUCCCGUCCAUCCAUUUUCGCA